rnacentral:rRNA from 1 species
GAUGAGCAUGCGUCCCAUUAGCUAGUUGGUAAGGUAACGGCUUACCAAGGCUACGAUGGGUAGGGGUCCUGAGAGGGAGAUCCCCCACACUGGUACUGAGACACGGACCAGACUCCUACGGGAGGCAGCAGUGAGGAAUAUUGGACAAUGGGCGCAAGCCUGAUCCAGCCAUGCCGCGUGCAGGAUGACGGUCCUAUGGAUUGUAAACUGCUUUUAUACGAGAAGAAACACUGCUUCGUGAAGCAGCUUGACGGUAUCGUAAGAAUAAGGAUCGGCUAACUCCGUGCCAGCAGCCGCGGUAAUACGGAGGAUCCAAGCGUUAUCCGGAAUCAUUGGGUUUAAAGGGUCCGUAGGCGGUUUAAUAAGUCAGUGGUGAAAGCCCAUCGCUCAACGGUGGAACGGCCAUUGAUACUGUUAAACUUGAAUUAUUAGGAAGUAACUAGAAUAUGUAGUGUAGCGGUGAAAUGCUUAGAGAUUACAUGGAAUACCAAUUGCGAAGGCAGGUUACUACUAAUGGAUUGACGCUGAUG